CAGCAUGGCACGGCCCUGCCCGGGCUCUCAGGGGCACCGCGGAGCUGCCCCGGCCCCGGCCGUGCCCAUGCCCGUCCCCCCGCUGAUGCUGCCCGGUGCGGCCGCACACGCUCCGCGCACACGCCUGCGCAGCGCUUUACAUAAUGCGCCCACCCCGGCCCGCCCCGAGCGCAUCAACCCGGCAAAGGGACCCCCAAAGGGUGGGAAAACGCUACGAGUUACAGAUCCGACAGGUUGGGAAUGUUGUCUUUUACAGAAUGUGCCCAAUCCUGCCCGCCCCGCUCGGAUCACCCCGGCAAAGAGAUCCCCAAAGGCUGGAGAAAACGCUACGAGUUACAAAUCCGACAGAAUGUGCCCAAUCCUGCCUGCCCCGCUCGGAUCACCCCGGCAAAGAGAUCCCCAAAGGCUGGAAAAACGGUAUGAGUAAAAGAUCUGACAGGUUGGAAAUGUGUUUUACAGAAUGUGCCCAAUCCUGCCCGCCCCGCUCGGACCACCCCAAAGGCUGGAGAAAACGCUACGAGUUACAAAUCCGACAGUGCUUAUCCAUGUGUAAACAGGCCUGGGAUUUUUAAAGCGACAUAAUCCAGCAAAGUUUACAGUUUUUUUCAGCAUUAGGGCACUGUAUUCCUCCAAACCUGCUUGGGGACAUCUUUAUUUCAGAAUAUGGAGAUGGACUUCAAUACAAUACAAUAAUUAAGGGACAAUAAAUUCCUCUUAGUACAAUAAAAAUUAAGAUUAUGGAUUAUGAGAGCAAAACAAUCACCCAGCUUGCAUUUGCCUCCCAGGCCUUGUGUGUGUGAGGAAAUAGAGUAGAACUGAGCUGGAACUGCACUGACACCCCUGAUUUGAGCACAAGUGUCCUCGUGUGGAAUUACACUGAAUUAUUGGACUCAGGAUGCUGUGAAUGACCCCCACUGCCAGCACAAGGAGCAGUUCCUUGAAUGCUGUCAAUACUGAUCACUCUGCCCUUUGCUGCUCUUGUUGUAUUUUGCCCAUUCCACACCCAGGCCUGAGCAUUUUCUCUUUUCCUGACAGUCAGUCCCAGCUUUGGGUGCUAAUUCCCAGAAGGAAUGAUGGAUAAUCAACCCCAAAAUGCUGAUUGUCCAUCAUUCCACUGUCAUCAACAGCUGUGGGAGCAGGAGCUGCUCCAGCAGGCUCAGAUCAGUGCCAUUCAAAGGCUGCACAGGAUUUUAAACUGAAAACAGCACCACCAUCCACAACCCUACCAUCACCUUCAUAUUACUCAGAGAUUACACCCAGGUGCACAUGAAUCCACUGUUCUAAUAACUUCAUUGCAUCCAUCAGCCUGAGGUCAGCUUUGUUGUUCCAAAUGCUUCCCAAAGUUGGCCAGCUGGAGAAUUAGUAAUUUAUUUCAAGGAAAUGAGGUUUUAAACUGAAAUUUUCCCACUCCCUGUGCCCAAGGAUGUGACUCCCACUGACACACCGUGUGGAGGAUUGUAUCCAGGGUCAGGGAGUGGAUAAUCUGGAUAAACCCAGAGAAGAGCAACCAGCACUAAAGGCACUGAAUCCUUCCAGCACAGCCUGGAGGCCCAGGAAUGGCUGAAAUUUAAAUGCUCACCUGGAAUCCAGGUUUGAUCCCACUGGGUACCAGCUGGAAAUGCUGAAAAUUGGAGCUGGAUGAAUCCUGACCAGACAAGAGAAACCUAUUUUGGGAAGCAAACAGAACUAACCACUGUAACUAAUUCAAGGCUCAAUUACCCAUCUGUGGCAUGCAUUAUUAUGCAAGGGUUUGUGCUCUCCCAAACACUGUUCUGUACCUCCAACCAGAAUCAAUUCAAGCCUCACACUUUGCAUUCAACAGCACUUGGAAUGAGAUAUCUGAAUGGUCCCAUUUUGUUUUACAGCCUAUGGAUCUUUCAGUGGUUUUUUUUCUCUUCCAGAAAGUGAGAAAAUAAUUAAAAACACAAUUCUUAGCCUCCACAAAUGUUGAUACGUUCAGUCUGGAUGAAUUUUAAGGUUUGAACAGAUUUUUCAAUAGCCACAUGAGUUACACUGACCCAAAUGCUGAGAUAAAUUCAAUAUAAUGGCUGCUUCAGAUCUG